UUUUACUUAGAAAAAUAAUUCAAUACAUCAUUAUAUAUAAGUACAAUGAUUUCUUAUUUCUGAUAAAAGAACUAAACGUAUAUGAAAGCCAAAAAUAAUCUAUUAAAGACGAUGAAAAGAAUUACAAGCGAGGAAAAUAUAUAGACCUUCAAAAGGCAGAAAAUCCAAACCUGACACCAUCAAUCCUUCCAUCUCUUCUCUCUCUUCUCCUCUGCUAUGGCGUCUGAAAUCACCUGGCAGAAGUCGUUCGUGGAGGCAGCAUACACCUGCAAUUGCGGCUCCUGCACACUGCUCGCCGUCAACUCCAGCGGGAAGGUCUAUAUUCAAGUUUUACAAGAGUUCAAUACCCAGAGGUGACCUUCAACUGGAAUGAUGAGGACAUCAGCGUGAGUUCUACAUGUCCCUGUGGAGCUGUAUUUAGGUUUGUUUGCUCUGAGUAUGAUAGCAAUUUAACCAUCUGUAAUGCCUGAGAAGCCUUCACAUCAAAGGUUUUAGCAUUCUUCUUUGGAUUAGAUUUGGCUUAUGAUUAUCUUUGAGAAAUCUUGAUUUUUGAUUUGUCUAUCUUAUUGUGAUUUGUACUCGUUGGUUUGGCUUAUGAUUAUCUUUGAGAAAUCUUGAUUUUUGAUUUGUUUAUCUUAUUGUGAUUUGUACUCGUUGGCUUGGCUUAUGAUUAUCUUUGAGAAAUCUUGAAUUUUGA